ACUACCACCACAUCCAUUUUUGAGUUUUUUCUCUCCCUCGAAUCCACGCGCGCACCCGUUUUCAACGAAAACAUUUCACCGACGCCCAAAUUUUUUAAAAUUAUGUUUCGUAUAUCUUUUGGUUCCUUUAAUACCCUUUCGUAUACACCCUUCAAUAUUUACAUCUCGAUUCCAGUUGAAAAACCUAUUUUCAACAUUAGUAGUUUGCGUUCUUGGAGAUUUCUGUGAAAUCGAUGGGGAGAAUCGAUGAAGAUCAUCAUCAACAGUUAAAUCAGCAGAUUAAAUUAUCAAAAACGAAAGCGUAGAUAAGUUUUUUCUAGCGUUAUCAAGUUUUUGUUUUUCUGAUAAAUGAUUUUACGAUUUCGAAAAAUUUAAAACUUUGAUUACAACUCAAUUUCUUGAUCAGAGCAAAGAUCUAAUCUCGAUCUCUCUUUUGAGAAAAAAAGUUCCAAAAAGUUUAGCAUUUUAUUAGGGUUCUUGACUGAAAUUUUGAUUUAUCUUCCAAUUUAUUAUUUUUAUCGAAAAUCUAUCUUCAUAUUGGAAUUCAGGGCAUCUAAAUCUCUGUUACCCAUGAAAUCAUUUUGAAUUUGGUGAAUUUUUAAUUUUCGAGGUUUUUUGGAAUUUUUUAAGGAUUUAAUUUGAUUGAUUAAGUGGUUUUGUGUUUUAGGUGAAGAGAAAUGCAAUGACAAAGGUGAGAUGGAUAGAUCAUUACCAACUAAGUAUGAAGAAGAUGUAUCUUUAAUGCUAUUGCUGACGAUGUUUGACUUGUUUAAAGUUCAUGUCUGAAGAAAUGGGUGGGAUUUCGUAAAGCUUAGAUCUACAACUGUUUGAGACAUCGUGCGCACGAGUAUUGUUAACGGUACCGAUAACAGGGAUGGCAAGCUUAAUACAUUGACACACGCUUUUUCUAUCUUGCUUCUCGGGCAGUUGUUGGUCGGUACUUUGAUGUUAUCGCAACAACUUGUUGAAGGUACGGAACCAACAUUUUUCAAGUAUGAUAAACAAGGAGCGAAGCUAGUUAUAACAGCGUCACAUAAAGGUGCAACAUUCAUGGCUGGCCUCACAACCAGCAAGAGAGUCAUUAGAACACAGACAAUGAUGAACUUAGAAUUCAUGAUGGGUGUGGUGAUCAAUGGAAAAAAAUAACUAAAUUUAUGUUCCAAUUAGUAGAGGAAAGUUGAGUUUGUGCUUAAUGGUGAUGAUUUAUGGGUACGUUUUAUACAGAUGUUUACACAAUUCAGUUUGGGGAAUACGGUUAAAAAUUGGUCAUGCUUGUUAGCUUUUUGAGC